CUACCGUGUUGUUGUUAUUUUAUAAAACAAUUACUUUAUGGUUUCCGUGUUUGGAUGGACUGAUCCAAACACUUGGGAAUGUUGCUCGAGUUAAGAAAAGCGGGCAAAAUCACUCGCCUUCGGCUCGUGUUUCGCUCGCCUUCGGCUCGUGAUUUCGCUCGCUUUUCUUAACUCUCGCAACAUUCCCACGUGUUUGGAUCAGGCCAUCCAAACACGGAAA